UGCUCCCUACGGGACGCAGCAGUGAGGAAUAUUGGUCAAUGGCCGAGAGGCUGAACCAGCCAAGUCGCGUGAGGGAUGACGGCCCUACGGGUUGUAAACCUCUUUUGUCGGGGAGCAAGACCCGCCUCGUGCAGGCGGAGCGAGAGUACCCGAAGAAAAAGCAUCGGCUAACUCCGUGCCAGCAGCCGCGGUAAUACGGAGGAUGCGAGCGUUAUCCGGAUUUAUUGGGUUUAAAGGGUGCGUAGGCGGUCCGGAAAGUCAGCGGUAAAAGCCCGGGGCUCAACCCCGGCGAGCCGUUGAAACUG
rnacentral:rRNA from 1 species